rnacentral:lncRNA from 1 species
GCUGGGGGUGUGGAAGGAGAUCCUAAGGGGGAUGAGUCAUCUGAAUCCAGGUACCAUGUGGCUUCGUCCAUGCGGGACCUUCUCCUCCCAUUCUGGGCUUCCCCAGGCUUGGGGGAACUGGGACCCCAAGCCCAGCAUGCUCGCCGCUCUCCAUUGCUUGAGUCCUCCAGACGUCGGGGGGACUGGCGGCCCCAUGCCUGGCCUGGCUCUGCAGGCUCCAACUGGAUGGCUCGGAACCGGGGAAAGGUGGGCGAAUCCCCAGGCCCGACCUCGAAGACGUU